ACCUUUGUGGGUAGUGGUCAGCACGCUGGGCGCGUAUUCCAGAUGUCCGUGGUUCGAGUCCCGGCAAAGGCG
rnacentral:tRNA from 1 species